GACGAACGCUGGCGGCGUGCUUAACACAUGCAAGUCGAACGGAAAGGCCCUGCUUUUGUGGGGUGCUCGAGUGGCGAACGGGUGAGUAACACGUGAGUAACCUGCCCUUGACUUUGGGAUAACUUCAGGAAACUGGGGCUAAUACCGGAUAGGAGCUCCUGCUGCAUGGUGGGGGUUGGAAAGUUUCGGCGGUUGGGGAUGGACUCGCGGCUUAUCAGCUUGUUGGUGGGGUAGUGGCUUACCAAGGCUUUGACGGGUAGCCGGCCUGAGAGGGCGACCGGGCCCAUUGGGACUGUGAGACGGGCCCCACGCCCACGGGGGGGGGCAGGGGGGAAUAUUUCACAAAGGGGGGGAGCCCGAUGCAGCAACGCCGCGUGCGGGGGGACGGCCCUUGGGUUGUAAACCGCUUUUGCCCGUGACGAAGCGCGAGUGACGGUGAAGGGGAAAAAAGCGCCCGCGUAACCCGUGC
rnacentral:rRNA from 1 species